CCUACGGGAGGCAGCAGUGAGGAAUAUUGGUCAAUGGGCGAGAGCCUGAACCAGCCAAGUCGCGUGAGGGAGUACUGCCCUAUGGGUUGUAAACCUCUUUUGUCGGGGAGCAAAAGCCGGACGUGUCCGGCUGUGAGAGUACCCGAAGAAAAAGCAUCGGCUAACUCCGUGCCAGCAGCCGCGGUAAUACGGAGGAUGCGAGCGUUAUCCGGAUUUAUUGGGGUUAAAGGGUGCGCAGGCGGAGUUUUAAGUCAGCGGUCAAAUCGUGGGGCUCAACCCCAUCCAGCCGUUGAAACUGGGGAUCUAGAGUGUGCGAGAGGUAUGCGGAAUGCGUGGUGUAGCGGUGAAAUGCAUAGAUAUCACGCAGAACCCCGAUUGCGAAGGCAGCAUACCGGUGCACAACUGACGCUCAGGCACGAAAGCGUGGGUAUCGAACAGGAUUAGAUACCCCAGUAGUC
rnacentral:rRNA from 1 species